rnacentral:rRNA from 1 species
ACUUUACAAUGCGGGAAACCGUGAUAAGGGAACUCCGAGUGUCCGUAAAUGCGGACUGUCCGUAUGUUUAAAAAGCAUGCGAAGAAAGGGCCGGGCAAGACCGGUGCCAGCCGCCGCGGUAAUACCGGCGGCUCGAGUGGUGGCCACUAUUACUGGGCUUAAAGCGUUCGUAGCUGGGUUGUUUAGUCUCUUGGGAAAUCUACCGGCUUAACCGAUAGGCGUCCAAGGGAUACUGGCAAUCUAGGGACCGGGAGAGGUGAGGGGUACUUCAGGGGUAUGA